UGGCUGAGUAUUUUCUAAACCAGAAAUGGUUAGAAAGGAACUUUAUUGUCUGCCUUGAAAGUGGACUUGUGGGUUACCAGGAAACAACAUGAGGACUACACAGCUGUUGGUAUCCCAGCUGCCAAGGAGCACAUGGGCAAGAACUGAAGAUGUAUUUGACAGGAAACAAACUUGAAGAACAGACAUACACAGUACUAAAAGGAAUAGGGGCUGGAUUCAAGCUCAGCAAAAGCACCUAACUCAAAAACAGGUGAGCUUUGGUCAGUCUAAGCAUUUGUUCUUGAAAAUCUGUCUGAUCAUACUAUAGUGAUGUUUCAUAAUUUCCAAAUCAAAAUACAAAUGAUUCUCAAUUCUUUUUGUUUCUUUUCUUAUAUAGAAAUUCAUCUCAUAACAACAUACAAUAUGACAUACGGUUAAUAUAAAGGACAAAAGCGUACUUGGCCCUAGUUUUGACCUCAGCAUAAGGCAAAAAUCCCCUAGACUAAUACAGUUAAAAACAAACCUAAAGGAAAAAAAACUGACCUCCCACAAAGACUGACAAUUUAAAAACUAUCAGAGUUCUUUUAUUCCAGAGGUUACUAAGAAAAGUACCAUCUGCUAAAUUUCUCUUUCAGCACUGUUUCCAUCAUGCCCUGGAGAUGAGACAGGGGAAAGAAGCAAAUCAGUGUUUCCCUCAAAAGCUAUAGAGUAUUGUGUUGCUUAACUGAGGUAAGAGAAUGACAGUGAAUAACAGUAUCCUUUCCUAUCCAAUUUUCAAACACUGCUAGAAACAGAUCAAACCCCAGUCAAUAAAAUGAAGGACACUGGAAACCACAAUUUCUUUUGGACUCCUGAGAUCAAACUUAUAUUGAAUCUGGUAUUUACAUAAAAAUGUGAUUUUCAUAAUAAAAUUAUCAGGUAAGCUAAUCCUACAUUUUAAAAGAAAAAAAAGCAUGGGCUGAAAAUAAAGGACCCUCUAAACUUCUCAUUCAAUAAUUCAGCCAGACGCUAAGAAAAAAACUGGCAUAAACAGUUCCUUCAACAACUGUCCUACCUUAGGUGAUGACAAAUUCCUUCCAGCAGGUUCUCCCAAGAAUUCUCUUUUCCACAUAACCAUCCCAAUCUUUACAAUUUUUUCCUAGCUAGCACCAUCAUAAUAAAAUGUUCUUUCAAAGUGCUCUCUAAAAUCCUAUGUUAUAAAAUAUCCAAAUGCUAAUAAUCACUACUCAAAUCAGCAGUUACACAGACAUUAGGUAAUUAAAACAGCACAGAGGUAAAUAACCAUUAUUACAGUACACUGGGGAUUCACUGAGCCUAGCUGACAUCCAAACAUUCCUACAGGUUAUCAGAAAACCCAGAAAACUCAUCUGCUUCAGUCUCAAAUUCAAGUGAAUUAUAUUUGCUUUAAAGUAAUCUGCUUAAAAAAAAAAAAAAAAAGCCAAGCCACCUCAUCUAUUUUUGGCUACAUAUAUUACACAUGGCAUGCAAAGCAAAAUCACUACAUUAUUUGCAUAGCACUCAAACUUCCUGAUUAGAAAGUAAUCUCAACAUAAAGAAUAGAUUUUCACAUUGGUAUGUACAAAUAAGAAGCUACAGUUAUUUUUUUUACAAAGUAACACAGGUACACGAAUACUGUGUUAAAAUUCAGAGUCCAAUCUCCAAAUA
ensembl:lncRNA